UCCAGCGGCGACAGCACGUUGAAUACACCACUUCCCGUUGGAUCACUGGAGUUAAGCAACGUUGCGCGUGGUUAGUACCUGGAUAGGUGCCUAUCUGUGCAAUCACGUGCUGCCUAUU
rnacentral:rRNA from 1 species